rnacentral:rRNA from 1 species
AUGAACGCUGGCGGCGUGGAUAAGGCAUGCAAGUCGGACGAUUUCCUUUUUUGAAGAAGAUGCGAUUACAUCAAGUCAACUGAUAUUUUGGAGAUAGUGGCGAACAAGCUAGUAACACCUUGGUACGUACCCAAAAGUUUGGUAUAGCUCGCCGAAAGGCGGGGUAAUCCCAAAUAAUCCCUCUAUCUAUCGGAUAGAAGGGUAAAGUCGCAAGACGCUUUUGGAGCGGCCUAGGACCGAUCAGUUAGUUGGUGAGGUAAUGGCUCACCAAGACGAUGACCGGUAGGGG